GUUUUCAAUUUUUGUUUAUUUUCUUUUAAAUAUAUUAUACCAUUUCUUUAAAAAAUAACUCCAUUGAAUAUUGCCUUUAUAAAAUCUUUAUAUUUUCUUCUUAAAUAAUCCAUGCUACUACACUAUAUGUACCUAUACACUACAUUUUCCAUUAAUAAUAAUAAUUAACCUUUAAUCAAAUCCAAAAAAAAUCUUUAAAAAAUAACAAAAAAAUAUAAAGAAAUUCUAUAGAAAUAUUAAAAAAAUCUUAAAUAAAUAUUAAAUAAGUUCUAUUCUAAUCCUAAUUAAAAUCCUAAUAAAAGUUAAUUAAAUUUUAGAUCAAAUCCUAACUAAAUUCUAAACCAAAUCCUAAAAAAAUUCUAAAUUCUAAACCAAAUCCUAAAUGAAUCUUAAAUCUUAGAAAAAUCUUAAAUCCUUAAUCAAAUCUUAGACAAAUCCUAAAUUCUAAAUCAAAUCCUAGACAAAUCCUAAAUCCUAAAUCAAAUCUAAGAUAAAUUCUAAAUCCUAAACCAGAUCCUAACCAACUUAAAUCAACUCUAAGGUAGAUUAGAAUUCCAAUAUCUAUUGUUUAAACUAUCAAUCUUGCUUAAAAACUUAUACACCUCUCA
rnacentral:lncRNA from 1 species